GAAACAUCCCUAUGAAGCAGGACUUGCUUCAGUGGGGCUUGGGUGCUCAUUGAUUCUGCUUCUUGAGUGUGUUGCU
rnacentral:pre_miRNA from 1 species